UACGGAGGGUGCAAGCGUUAUCCGGAUUUAUUGGGCGUAAAGCGCUCGCAGGUGGUUCGAUGCGUCGUGCGUGAAAUCCCACGGCUCAACCGUGGAACUGCUGGGUAUACUGGUUGUCUUGAGCCAGCUAGGGGCGAGCGGAACAGACGGUGGAGCGGUGAAAUGCGUAGAUAUCGUCUGGAACGCCGAAGGUGAAAACAGCUCGCUGGGGCUGCGCUGACGCUGAGACACGAAAGCCAGGGGAGCGAACGGG
rnacentral:rRNA from 1 species